GUCAUUAGGCAUCAGGGAAACGCAAAUCAAGACCACAAUGAGACACCACUUCACACCCAUUAGAAGGGCUAUAACUUAAAAAAACAAAAAAGAAAAAUAACACGUUGGCAAGGAUACGGAAAAAUUGGAACCCUCACGCCCUGCUUGCGGGAAUGUAAAGUGGUUCGGCUGCUGUGGAAAGCAGUUUGGCAGCUCGCCUAAAUGUUAAACAUAGAGUUAGCAUAUGACCCAGUAAUUCCACUGGGUGGUAUUUACCCAAAAGAACUGAAAACAACCAUUCGAACAUACCUGUUUUGACAGGUAUGACACACGCUCCAACAUGGAUGAACCGUGAAAACACUAUACUGAGUAAAAUAAGCCAGACACAAAGGACAGACGCUGUAAGAUGCCACUUACUUGAAAUAUGUAGUGAGGAGUCGGGCUCCGGGUUAAACGUCUUUGUGCGACUUUUUGGCCGCCACAGGCCAUUACAAACGCUUUCCCUGGUGGCCAUGCGGGGAGGGGUGGGGAAGCUCCCUUCCCCCAGCAGCCCGGCCCGGCGGCGGGCACUGCGGGCUCUGAGGGAGCUGCAGGCGAGGACUCUGCCCCUGGCCGGCCUUCUCCUCGCCCAUUUACAUUCCUAGCCGGGUGCCUCCAUUCCUAGGUCGCUAUCUGCGACCUCAGGCAGGGCUCUUCUCCAGGCGCCUCUGUGAGGCCUCUUUAGGUGCGCCACUCAUGGGGGAAGAUGGAACGGGGCGUCGGUGCCUUCUCGCUUCUGUCACCGCAGACUUCCUAUAAAUGUGGUCAUACUCUACGCUUCCUUUGUGUAAGGCUCCUUUCACUCAGGGCAAUGUUUCUGAGGUUCACCUUUACUGUGGGCAGCGGCAGCUCGUUCCUUCCCGUUGCACGCAUCAGAGAGUGGAACUCUGUGUCAUCGGGUAGGCAUCGUUUAGUUCUCCAAGAAACUCCCAGACCUUUUCCCAAAACGGUUGUCCCAUUUCACGUUCCCACCAACAACGUCUGAGAUUUCCAGCUCCACAUCCUCAGAAAUCUUUAAUGCUGUCAGGUAUUUCAAUUUUAGCCGUUCUGAUGCGUGUGUAAUGGAUGUGUGCUAUAGUUUUAAUUUACACGUCCCUGAUGUUGAACAUAGUCAUGUUGAAUAUUUUUCAUUAUUGGCUAUUCAUACAUCUUCUUCAGUAAAGUGCCUGUUCCAAUCUUUUGCCUGUUUUAAAAUUUAGUUGCUAGUCUCAGCCUUAUUGAUUGGAGGCUUUUUAAAAAUAGGCGUUCUGCAAAAGGACUAUAUGCCUAUUUUAAAAAUAGGCAUAUUCUGGGCACUAGUCCUUUUUCAGAUAUAUGUUUUGCGAAUAUUUUCUCCCAGUGUGGCUUGCCUAUUUAUUUUUCUUAACGAAACCUGAUGAUGAGCAGGAGUUUUUUAUUUAAUAAAAUUUCAUUUAUCAAAUUUUAUCUUAUUCUCUGUGACCUAAGAAAUUUUUGUCGACCCCUCAAAUCCUGAAGACAUUCUCCUGUUUUCCUUCAGAAGCUUAUGGCUUUGUCUAGUAUGCUUAUCACUAUGAUUCGUCUUGAAUUCAUUUUGAGUUUUGUGUGGUAUGAAAUGGGCACUGAGGCUCAUUUUUUUCCGUAAGAACGUAUGGCGAUUCCAGAUCCAUUUGUGGAAAAGAUUUUCUUUUCUUCAUUGGAUUGCUUUGAUGCCUUUUUCAAAAUCAACUGACUGUGGAAAUACGGCUCCAUUUCGGGGCUUUCCCUUCUAUUCUGUUGGUCUGUCGGUCCUUUCGCCAGGACCACACUUUCUUGAUUAUGGUGGUUCUAUGGUCGGUAUUAAAGUAAGAUAAUGUAAGUUCUUUUUCUUCUUCAUUUUUUAGACUGCUUUGGAUAUUCUAAGUCUUUUGAAUUUUCAAAUAAAUUUUAGGAUCAGACUGUGAAUUUCCACUAAAAUCCUGCUUGGAUUACAAUUGAGAUUGUGUUCAAUUUAUAAAUUUGGGCAAACCCAGCCCGUGGCAGCCAGCCACCUAUUUUGUAAAUAAAGUUUUAUUGGAACACAGCCCUGCCUGUUCCUUUCUUUAUUGUCUGUGGCUGCUUUCACGCUACAAUGACAGAGUUAAGAGGUUGCAACAGAGACCAUAUGGCACACAAGCCUAAAAUAAUUGCUAUCCAGCCCUUUAAGAAGAAGUGUGCCAAUCCUAUGGAUCCGUGCGGGAGGAAGUUGGUGUCUUCGGGGUAGUGUGCCUUCCACAUCUUGAGCAUGGCAUUUUGCUCUGUUGAUUUAAAUAUCCCGUAAUUUCUCUCAACAAUGUUUUAUAGUUUUCAGUGUAGGUCUUGCAAGUCUCUUGUUACUUCUAAUUUCACGGUUUGGGGGAGACUAGUAUAAAUGGAAAUGUUUUAAGAUUUUAUUUCCAGUUGUUUGCUCUCAGUAUAUAAAAUACAGUUAAAUUUUGGACAGUAAUUUUGUAUCCUGUGGUUCUAGUAGCUGUAGAAUCCGUAGGAUUUUCUAUCUAAAUAAUCUUGUCAUCAACAAAGAGAGUCAGUUUUAAUUCUUCUCUCAGAUUUUUGUGCCUUUUUUCCCUUGCCUUAUUGCAGUGGCUAGGACCCCCAGUACAAUGUUAAAUAGAUUUGGUAUUACUUUGUUCCCAGUCUUACGGAACACUAUUAAACAGGAUAUUAACGGUAGGUUUUUUUUUUUUAAUAGAUGGGCUUUAUCAGAUUGAGGAAUUUCCUUAUUAUUCCUAGUUUACUAACAGUUUUUAUUGUGAAUGUGUUGAGUUUUGUCAAAUGCUUUUCCUGAAUUUACUGAAGUAUGGUUAUCCUUUAUGAUGCUAGUAUGGUGAAUUACAUUGAUUUUCAAAUGCCAAACCCAUUUUGCAUGACUGGGAUAAAUCCCACUUGCUCAUAAUGUAUUAUCCUUUUCAUCUGCUGCUAGAUUGAAUUUGCUCAUAUUUUCUUAUGGAGUUUUCCACCCAAGCGAAGACUAUUCGCUUGCAAUUUUUAAAAUGUGUUUUUUAAGUUUUGGAACCAGAGUUCUACGGACUCAAUGAAAUGACUUGGAAAGUGUUCCAUCCUCCUCUGUUUUUAAAAAUAAUUUGUUUAAGAUAUGUGUUAUUUCUUCCUUAAAUAUUUGGUAGAAUCUACCAGUAAAAUCAUCUGGGCCUAGAGUUUCUUUGUGGAAGAUUUUUUUUUUUUAAUGAAUUCAACUUCUUUAAUAGACACAAUUCUAUUUAUAUUUUCUAUUUUAUCAUCUUGUGUCAGCAUUUUACAAGGAAUUUGUCCCUUUCUUCUAACCUGUUGAAUUUGUAGCGCUGACAUUGUUCAGAAUAUUCUCUAAUUCUUCUUUUAAUGCUGUCAAUUUCUGUUGCAAUAGCCCUCUUUCAUUCCUAAUCUUACUAACUUGUGUAUUUCUGUUUUUUCUUAAUUGCUCUAGCUAAGGUAUAUCAAUUUUGUUGAUCUUUUCAAAGAACUACUUUUUGGCCUUGCUGUUUUAACAAUUAUUUUGUUUUGUUUUGUUUUUUGUUUCUGGAACUGGAAUUUCCUUUCUUCUACUUACUUUGAGGUUACUUUGCUCUUCGCUUUCAGCUUCCUAAGGUUGAUCCUCAGGUACUUGACUUUAGGCACUUAUUUCUUCUUUUCUCAUACAGGCAUUUAGGACUCUAAGUUUUCCUCUAAGCAUUGCCUUAGCUCCUCAAAUUUUGAUAUUUUUGUUAUUCAGUUCAAAAUCUUUUCUAAUUUUUCUUGUGAUUAUUUCUUUGACUCAUGAGUUACUUGGCUUAUGUACCUUCUGUAUAUCUUCCUUGGUGAGGUGUCUGUCCAGGCUUUUUGCCCAUUUUUUUCAGGGGAGAACGUGAACACAGAGCAGUCCCCUCCUAGGACACGUGGGGAAAUCACAGGGGUGAGCAUUGGAUGAGCCUUGUCCUGGGGAAACCACCUUUGUGAUCACGGCAUCUCAUCUGCCAGACUCUUCAAGGAAAGAUCGUCCGUCACAGGCCCCGGAAGAGACGUCCACUGCCUUCCAGACAAGAAAGACCACUCCAGCAACCCAGCCAACGAGAAACAGUCACCACCCUGAACAAGACCUUGUUUUCCACCAAUGGGCUUCUGUUCAAAACAACCCUCCCAACUUCCUCCUUUUUCUCUAUAAAAUAAAGUCCCUCUCCUUUGUGUGCUAGACUUGACUGUGGCUUUUGCUAUAGUGUGCUUGUCCCAAAUUGCAAUUCCUUUCCUAUUCCCAAAUAAACUGAUUUUGCUGGUAAAAUAA
ensembl:lncRNA